UACGAAGGGGGCUAGCGUUGCUCGGAAUCACUGGGCGUAAAGCGCACGUAGGCGGACUCUUAAGUCAGGGGUGAAAUCCUGGAGCUCAACUCCAGAACUGCCUUUGAUACUGGGAGCCUUGAGUUCGGGAGAGGUGAGUGGAACUGCGAGUGUAGAGGUGAAAUUCGUAGAUAUUCGCAAGAACACCAGUGGCGAAGGCGGCCCGCUGGGCUGUUGCUGACGCUGAGGCGCGACAGCGUGGGGAGCAAACAGG
rnacentral:rRNA from 1 species